GAGCCAAUCAGCCGCGAGUUUCAGGUCACGUGGAAGCGAAAGUUAAAGCGCCCGCAGGCAGCUCGGAGACUGGCUUCCGGGCGGUGGACCGCCGCGGGAGGGAGUCUUCUGGCUGCACGUGGUGCGGGGGCGCGUGACUCCAGGAACUUCGGAAGUCCAGGGCCGGUGGUGGCCCGCUACCCUUCACUGGUGUCUUCAGAUGCAACGCCCUUUCCCGCGCCUAUCACGUUCCUUCCACUCCUCCGGGCAGCACCUCCCCUCUCCUGGGGGAGACCUGGAAACCAUACACCCCUGUGAAGAUUGCCACUGCAAUUGCGAUGCUCUGAAGAAAUACAAGGGCCUCAGGCUUCCAAAAGGAAGUGACGCUUAACCUGAACUAUAUUGUGAGUGACUAGAAGAGUCGGAAACAUUGGAGGGAGAGAGAAAUGAAGACCCCCGAAGGAUAAAGAAAGCUGGGCAGAUUUGAGGAACUAAGGUCACGCACACAGUUGGAGGGGCCAUGAGCCACGGAAGCCUAGACUGGCAGCGGUGGGGCAGGGCCUAGCGGACUUGGUAAGGUCGCUCCUUGCACCUGUAAGGGGCAGCAGCAGCAGCACAAGGCAGGAGUUAUUUGUAUUUGUCUUGUUGAGAAACAGAGGGCCAGUGAAAGGAAAUAACUCAGAAAAGAUCAACACCAGUAGGAGAGCCGGACUGGGACCAGAGCUGGAACUCCUGUCUCGAAGACCAGCAUUCUUGCCACUGUUCCCCAGAGUAAUACUCAUUGUACGGACGGACUGCCUCUUGUUUACCCAGCUGAUGGACAGCCGGGUGGUUUCCAUUUGGGGCCAUUACAAAUAAUGCUACCAUGAGUGCUGUGUAGGAGUGUGUGCGUGUCUGCACGUUUCUGCUGUGGAUACCCAGACGUCGCAUUGCUGGGUCUUCGUUGCUUCUAGUCGAACAUUUUGAGGAACUGCUGGACCGCUUUCCAAAGCAGGUGCUCCAUCUUACAUUCCCACCAGCAGGCACUAGGGUUCCAAUUUCUCCACACCCUUGCCGACACUUGUCAUGAAUUUCCUGUAUUAUAACUUUUCAGCGGAUGUGAUGUGGUAGCUCCACCGGUUUCUGAUUUGCAUUUCCCUAAUGACUAAUCACGUUGCGCAUGUUUGCAUGGGCUUAUUGGCCAUUCAGUCUGGGGAUGCAGAAGGCCAACCGUGUAUUUAUUGAAGAAAAUCCAAGUAUAAGUGGACCCGCGCAGUUCAAAUAUGUUAUUCAGUGUUCAACUGCAUGAUUUGCAAGUAUUGUCCCCCAGUGUUAACAUUUUAAUUCUGUCCUUUGAAGCAAAAAGUUUUAAAAUUUUGCUGAAGCACAACUUACAUUUUACCACUUGCAUUUUUGCUGUGGUAUCUAACGCA